CCGCCCCUCCAUGCCUCCCCCGCUCCUUGGCCCGGCCCCGCCCCUCCACCCUCCGGGUUCCCUCCAGCCUCAGCUUUGCCCAGGACCUCACCUGGAACACGUGGAAGCCAACGGUGAGGCUCCAGCAGCGUUAAACGGAACUGAGGAUUGGUCCAGAAGGUUUCUAAGGGAGGAGGAAAAAAGGGGGUUUCCUAGCCGGCCACAGCGCCCCCCACCCCAGGAAGCCUCUCAGGGCCCCUCAGGCCUCACCAGCAUUAGGCUGGCUCCCGCCGGAGUUGAAGCCACGCACCCAGCGGCCUUGGAAGGUGUGGACGUGCCAGCCGCCCCCCUCCGGGCUGGGGCCCAGCACCUCCGGGCUCAGCGAGCAGAUCUGCACGGUGUCGAAAUGGAGGAGGAAGUCCCGCAGCUCCAUCCUGCACGGUGGCCCAGUCAGACCCUGCCCGGCCCCACCUCGAGGGGGUCCCAAGAUCCCGGAAAUGACUCCCAGAUCCCAAAGCCCCUCACAUUUCUUAAAUAUUGUCAAAUACCCUUCAGGCUCCAGAAAUGAACCCCAAAUGCCUGGGCCUCUAGCUCUGCCAAAUUCCUCCAAGUCCUCAGACAUGCCCCACAAAUCGCCAAGAUUCACAAGCUGCCCCCAAAUAUCGUUAAAUUGCCACCAACCCCCAAAUAGCAAGACCCUCAGACUCUAAAUUACCAACAAGUACCCUUCAGCCCCUCAACAUUGCCAAAUCUCAAGAAAUGCCCCAAAUAUCACCAAGCCUUCCUCCAUUGCCCUAAAUACUGCCCAUCCCUUUCAAUCCUCCACAGAUAACUAGGCCUUCAAAUUCCCCUCAUAUUACUACUUUUUUAAACCCACUCCAAUCAGAGGUUCUCUAAUAUUACUACCAAUUCUUCCUUGAUUUCCCAAAAUAGAACCUGGCCCCAAAAUUACCACCGAUGUACACAGUUUCUCCCUAUUAGGACCCAUCCUUCAACUGGGGCUCGCCCUCCCUGAACCCCUUGGCAGAGACCCUCCCAGAGGCAGAGCUGGGACCCUGACGAACUGACCAGAACUCGCCAUCCUCCUUUUUCACCAGCAGGGCAUCGCGGCACUCGGUGGGGAGUGUGUCCCAGCGUGGGCAGCUGGAGAGACUGUGGUGUGAGGGGCGGGCAGGUGGGGUCCAGCCCCACACCCACCCCAGACCCAUCCCACCUGUCGCUCCAGGCCCCCGUCCACUCCACGCAGCCCCAUGGGUUCCGCAGCCGCAGCAGCCGCACCUUGGUGAAGCCCAGGAACACCUGGGGCAGCAUCGUCAGUGGGGGUGAUGCCUGGACAUGGCCUGCCACCCCACCCAUGGGGGACACUUACCUUGUGUGUGCCCGUGAUGGAAUACGCGUGUCCCUUUACCAGGCCCUCUUCUGUGCGGUACUCACCCCGAUCACUCUGGGCAGGGGAUGGGAUGGUGAGGCCAAGGUAGGGGACAGGAGGGCAGCUGCUCCUCCCUGCCCCCAACCUCCUGCCACCAAGGCAGGAGCCAACCAGAGCACUGAACUGAAUGGCACGCAGCUCAGAGACCAUGUCAGGGUUAGUGACUGAAGGCGAAAGAGAAAAGGAGAGGAAGGGAGAUGGAAACGAGACAAAAGGAGAUGGAGGUACGGGCUCACGCCUGUAAUCCCAGCACUUAGGGAGGUCGAGGUGGAAGGACUACUUGAGGCCAGGAGUCCAAGACCAGCCUGGGCAACAUAGCAAGACCCCAAGUCUACAAAAAUUUUAAAAAUUCAACAGGCGUGGUGGUGCACACCAGUGGUCCCAGCUACUCUGGAGGCUGAGGCAGGAGGAUCCCUUGAGCCCAGAGGUCAAGGCUAUAGUGAGCUAUGAUGACACUACUGCACUCUGGCCUGGGUGACAGAGUGAGAUGAGACCCUGCCUCCAAAAACAAAAACAAACAAAAUAGAUGGAAAGAGGCCUGUUGUG
rnacentral:lncRNA from 1 species